rnacentral:rRNA from 1 species
UACGAAGGGGGCUAGCGUUGUUCGGAUUUACUGGGCGUAAAGCGCGUGUAGGCGGGUCGUUAAGUUGGGGGUGAAAUCCCGAGGCUCAACCUCGGAACUGCCUUCAAAACUGGCGACCUGGAGCAAAGAAGAGGCGAGUGGAAUUGCGAGUGUAGAGGUGAAAUUCGUAGAUAUUCGCAGGAACACCAGUGGCGAAGGCGAGUCUCUGGACGACUCCUGACACUGAGGCACGAAAGCUGGGGGAGCAAACAGG